AUUGAACGCUGGCGGCAUGCCUUACACAUGCAAGUCGAACGGUAACAGGUUAAGCUGACGAGUGGCGAACGGGUGAGUAAUGUAUCGGAACGUGCCCAGUCGUGGGGGAUAACUGCUCGAAAGAGCAGCUAAUACCGCAUACGACCUGAGGGUGAAAGCGGGGGAUCGCAAGACCUCGCGCGAUUGGAGCGGCCGAUAUCAGAUUAGGUAGUUGGUGAGGUAAAGGCUCACCAAGCCGACGAUCUGUAGCUGGUCUGAGAGGACGACCAGCCACACUGGGACUGAGACACGGCCCAGACUCCUACGGGAGGCAGCAGUGGGGAAUUUUGGACAAUGGGCGCAAGCCUGAUCCGGCCAUGCCGCGUGCGGGAAGAAGGCCUUCGGGUUGUAAACCGCUUUUGUCAGGGAAGAAAAGGUUCUGGCUAAUACCUGGGACUCAUGACGGUACCUGAGGAAUAAGCACCGGCUAACUACGUGCCAGCCGCCGCAGUAAAAC
rnacentral:rRNA from 1 species